CCGCGCCUCUGUGAUGGGCUUACUCACCAUGUCAUUCGGAACUAGAACUAGGAGACCAUUGGACCCUACUAGCGGGAAACGGCAAGGCUGGUGCCAACCUCCCCGGUAAAACCAGCUCUUCAAGUGGAAGGGAUAAUUAUUGGGCUUGAAAUGUCCGUACCCGGUUUAGUAAGUUCCUGGUAAAAUCGGGUAGCUUAACUAUCUGUAUGCUAGGAAUACUGCUAUGCUAGAGGGGGGAAGAGGUCUGAGGUACUACAGGGGUAGGGGUGAAAUCUUAUAAUCCUUGCUGGACCACCAGUGGCGAAGGCGUCUGACUGGAACGCGCCUGUCUGUAAGGGACGAAAGCCAGGGCAGGGAACCGGAUUAGAUCCCCGGCUAGUGCGGGCCGUAAAC
rnacentral:rRNA from 1 species